AGCGAACGCUAGCGGCGGGCCUAACACAUGCAAGUCGAGCGGGGAGCAAUCCCCAGCGGCGGACGGGUGAGUAACACGUAGGUUAUGUGCCCUUUGGUGGGGAAUAACCGUGGGAAACCAUGGCUAAUUCCGCAUAUCGAGCGAAAUCUUGAAAGCCUUCGGGCGCCAAAGGAGCAACCUGCGGCCCAUUAGCUUGUUGGUAGGGUAACGGCCUACCAAGGCGAUGAUGGGUAGCUGGUCUGAGAGGAUGAUCAGCCACACUGGAACUGAGACACGGUCCAGACUCCUACGGGAGGCAGCAGUAAGGAAU
rnacentral:rRNA from 1 species